rnacentral:rRNA from 1 species
AAGGAAGGCAGCAGGCGCGUAAAUUAUCCAAUCCCGAUACGGGGAGUAUAGUAGACAAGAAAUAUUGAUGUAGGGCCUUUUAGGUCUUACGAUCGAAAUGAGAACAAUUUAAAAACUUAGCGAAACAAUUGGAGGGCAAGUCUGGUGCCAGCAGCCGCGGUAAUUCCAGCUCCAAUAGUGUAUAUUAAGUUGUUGCGGUUAAAAGCUCGUAGUUGGACUUCGGAACGGGUUCGUUUGGCCCCCUUGGCUUAGGCUUUGGGAUCAGCGCUGGGCGGGCCCUUCUACAUGGGGACAUCACCCCUUCGGGGGCGUUCUCAAAUUUUACUUUGAAUUAAUUAGAGUGUUUUCAAACAGGCAAAUUGCCUUGAAUAUUUUAGCAUGGGAUAAUGAAAAGAUGACUUCGGUCAAUUUUUUGUUGGUUUCUUGGGCCGACGUAAUGAUUAAUAGGGGAC